rnacentral:rRNA from 1 species
AACGGCCGCGGUAUCCUAACCGUGCAAAGGUAGCAUAAUCAUUUGCCCAUUAAUUGUGGGCUAGUAUGAAGGGGUUAACGAAAUAAAAACUGUCUCAAUUAAUCACCUAAAAACUAUUCUUUACUUGAAGAAAAGUAAAUUCACUCGAAGGACAAGAAGACCCUAUAGAGCUUAAUUUUAUUUAUAGAUCAAACUAUAAAAAUAUUCGGUUGGGGCGACCCAGGGCUAAUAAAUCACCCACAAAAAAAAAGAUACAUAAAUCAAAUAAAUGACCCUCAUAGAUCAAAAGACCAAGCUACCUUAGGGAUAACAGGCUAAUCCCACUUAAGAGUCCUUAUCAACAGUGGGGUUUGGCACCUCGAUGUUGGCUUAGG